rnacentral:rRNA from 1 species
GGCUGCGAUCAUACCAGCACUAAUGCACCGGAUCCCAUCAGAACUCCGCAGUUAAGCGUGCUUGGGCGAGAGUAGUACUAGGAUGGGUGACCCCCUGGGAAGUCCUCGUGUUACAACCC